AUGGGACGAUUCUGGCGUGGAACCCGAAGCAACCCCUCCCCCUCAGGUGCUGAAGCUGAAGCCAGAUGCCGAGCUUAUCCGCGUCCUCUGUGGAGGAUCUGGGCCUCAAUCAAGGCUGUGGAGGGUCUGGGACUCGAGUGGUCGGCUCCGGAGGAGCCCGCCCAUGGCUUACUGGAUGAGUGGUUCCUGCCAGAGACCUGCCAGCAAUCCCCUCGCCAGUGCGCAGCCCCGUUCUUGCCAGCCGUCCAUGAUGAGCUUACCAAGAUGUGGUGUGCCCCCUAUUUGGCACGGGUAAACCCCUCGACUGCAGCAGCUCUCACCACCGUUGACGGCGCUGACGAAAGAAGUUACGCCAAAUUUCCCCCCCUGGAGGAAGCGAUCGCCACACGUCUGUGCCCACCAUCUGCCCCUGGCUUAAAGGGCCAUGCAGCGCAUCCAUCUCUGUCCCAUCUCAGGCAGAUGGGAAUCCGCGUAUUGAACUAACUCAACGAUUGGCUUGUUCUAGCCAGAUCAGAACGGGAACUGACCGCUCACAGAGGGCUGCUGCUCAGUCACUUCUAGCGCCUCGGGUUGGUCAUCAACCCACGCAAGAGCCAGUUGUUGCCCAGACAACGAACUGUCUUUCUGGGAACGGUUCUAGACUCCGCCCUAAUGCGGGCAUCGAUUCCUGAUGAUUCAGUGAUUGACGGCUUCCCUCACAAAGGGGACGACAUGCCCCCCUGAGGGUUUUUCAGAGGCUGAAAUCCAAAUCCAAACCAAAUGCUCCCUCCACUUAGAAGCUCCACUCUGGAAGAACCAGGCUUGGUUUCCAGAGCUGAUGCAGCUCAUAACAAUGGCCCUGUGGCCCAUCCCAUUGAGGAGGGACCUUCUCUCGCAGGCGAAAGGCAUGAUUUGGCAUCCCCGCCCAGAGCUGUGGAGCCUUCAUGUCUGGUGCCUCAAUGGGAGUCUGAUAGGCUCCCAGCGAGAGUAAGCAACACCAUUCUUGAGGCAAGUGCACCGUCUACGAGAAGGCUCCAUGGCCAGAAAUGGUCAGUAUUCCAAAAUUGGUGCUCUCUACUCCCUUUAGAUCGCAAGUAAUAUCCCUAUUGGCACUCCCUGUGCAGACAGCAAGCAGGGACCGAAUACUCUCUGCUCUGUUAGGGCUCUGAGAGUCUAUGUGGAACAUUCUAAACUGUUCAGGCAGUCUGAACAACUGUUUGUUUGCUUUGGAGGCCGCCAGAAGGGUCUGCCGGUUACCAAGCAAAGACUGUCUCGCUGGAUUGUUGAUUGUUGAUACAAUAGCCCUGGCUUAUGCAUUGGAAGGACUGGAAAGCCCUACUGGUGUGAGAGCCCACUCCACAAGGGGAACGCCCUCCUCAUGGGUGUGGUCCAGCGACAUGUGUAUCAGUGAGAUCUGUGCGGCCGCCAGCUGGUCGUCGCCAUCCACUUUUGCCAGAUUCUAUAACUUAGACAUCCCUGCCCUGCAGGCGCGGAUUCUAUCUGU
ensembl:lncRNA